rnacentral:rRNA from 1 species
UUUAAUGGCCGCAGUAAUUUGACUGUGCAAAGGUAGCAUAAUCAUUAGUUUUUUAAUUAAAAGCUAGUAUGAAAGGUUGGACGAGGUAAAAUCUGUCUUAAAUUAAUUUAUUAGAAUUUAAUUUUUAAGUUAAAAAGCUUAAAUUUUUUUAAAAGACGAGAAGACCCUAUAGAGCUUUAUAAUUAAUUUUAAUUAAUUAAUUUUGAUUUAUUAAAAUUAAUUAAUUUUAAUUAUUUUAUUGGGGUAAUAGAAAGAUUUAAUUAAUUCUUUUUAAAUUUUUAUUAUUUAUUUAUAUUUUUAUGAUCCAAUAUUAUUGAUUAAAAG